rnacentral:ncRNA from 1 species
CGCCACUCUGGCGACGAUGGUGACCGCGUUCUGCGCGGUCGAAUAGGGAAUACGGUGCGGGGCAGGGCCCCAAUGCCGUGACUGCCCCCGCAACUGUAAGCGGCGAGCCAUCCCGUAAACGCCACUGGACCCUCGGUCCGGGAAGGUUCGGGACUGUGCCUUGACCCGCAAGUCAGGAGACCUGCCAUCGUCGGGCCCAUCCG